rnacentral:rRNA from 1 species
CGGUGUCUUCGGACCGUGGCGGACGGGUGAGUAACGCUUGAGAAUCUAGCUUCAGGUCUGGGACAACCACUGGAAACGGUGGCUAAUACCGGAUGUGCCGAGAGGUGAAAGAUUAAUUGCCUGAAGAUGAGCUCGCGUCUGAUUAGCUAGUAGGUGUGGUAAGAGCGCACCUAGGCGACGAUCAGUAGCUGGUCUGAGAGGAUGAUCAGCCACACUGGGACUGAGACACGGCCCAGACUCCUACGGGAGGCAGCAGUGGGGAAUUUUCCGCAAUGGGCGAAAGCCUGACGGAGCAAUACCGCGUGAGGGAGGAAGGCUCUUGGGUUGUAAACCUCUUUUCUCAGGGAAGAACACAAUGACGGUACCUGAGGAAUCAGCAUCGGCUAACUCCGUGCCAGCAGCCGCGGUAAUACGGAGGAUGCAAGCGUUAUCCGGAAUGAUUGGGCGUAAAGCGUCCGCAGGUGGUGAUGUAAGUCUGCUGUCAAAGCGUCUAGCUCAACUAGAUACAGGCAGUGGAAACUACAUGACUAGAGUGCGUUCGGGGCAGAGGGAAUUCCUGGUGUAGCGGUGAAAUGCGUAGAUAUCAGGAAGAACACCGGUGGGCGAAAGCGCUCUGCUAGGCCGCAACUGACACUGAGGGRACGAAAGCUAAGGGGAGCGAAUGGGGAUUAGAUACCCCAAGUAGUCCUAGCCGUAAACGAUGGAUAACUAGGGGGUGGCUUGGUAUCGCACCC